GGCCGCCGGUGGCGGCGGGCGGGAAUGGGUCUUGUCGCUGCGGCGUCCGGCGCGUUUUUUGCUGUGGCCGUCGUGCUUGCGUGCGGCCCGGCGGCCUGGUGGUACAGCCCCGGCAGCGCCAAGGGUCUGGCGUUUGCCAACGUUGUGUGAAGGAGAGUGGAACGAUCUGAGUCGUUGGAACACUCCAUAUAGUAGUUGCAGCCUCUCGUCUUAGCUUUGUCUGGUACAAGGGAACACCUGUAUUGCCAUGGAGGAUUGUUACACCAAUUCCCUGUACAGUCAGGAAACCUAAAACCUGUGAAAUCUUCACUUGGAUCCUGGGCCCAUGCCAGUCCUUGGGACUAGCACUGGCUGGUGAAGUGCUUCACCACUGCUUACUUCUGGACCCAGCCUUCAUGCCACCGUGAACCGAAUCUCUGGGACCAAUAAGCCACAUUGUGCAGGACACAGAUGCUGAUAUGAGAAACUGGAAUUUCUGCUCCAUCUGUGAAUCAGUACAGAAGACCAGUACAAGAGCCGGAACCUAAAAGAUCAACGUAGUUAUUCCUGCUAAGAGAAGCAGUAUUCCCAGUUAGCUCUUUGUGAACUUCUUGGACCAGGCACUACCACAGGUUUGGGUAUUAGUACAGAAGAACAGUAGGAAUGCUUGGAGGGAAACAGGCAGACUGCAGACAGAGAUGAACCAACCUUUUGUCCCGGGGCUCCAUCUUCUCCUGGAAGACCUGGCAGACCUGCCAGUCCUGAAGGGCCUGGUUCACCCUGACAUCCAUAAAAAGUGCAACUUUAAAAGCUUAGUGGGACCUUCACAUUUUUAUACCCGUUUGUGUGGGAUGCAUGGUAUUAUUCUGUCCAGAAUUCCAGGUAUGUGACAUACCAUACAGGACACUUCUAGACUUGCAAUCUUCUGAAGUUGUGAUGUUCUCAAUACCUGCACUGUUCUUAUGGUGACAGUUCAUCAAAUCAUCAAUGAUACCAAUGUAAAAUAUGAAUGCAUUGAUGUAUCUGAGAUAACUCCUAAAAAUAAAAAUUAACAGC